GUCUAUUUGAAGUUAUAAAGAGUCUGACCUGCCCCCUGAUUUAUGAGUUAAAGGGCCGCGGUAUUAUGACCGUGCAAAGGUAGCAUAAUCAUUAGAUUUUUAAUUGAGAUCUUGUAUGAAGGGUUGGACAAAAGAAUAACUGUCUUUAAAUUAAAUUUUGAAUUUAACUUUUAAGUGAAAAGGCUUAAAUAAUCUAAAGGGACGAUAAGACCCUAUAAAACUUUACAUUAUAGUUAUAUUUUUUUGAAUUUAGUAUAAAAGUUUAAUUUGAUUAUUUGUUAUAUUGGGGAGAUAUAAGCUAAAUUAGUUUUAACUGCUUAAAAUUAAAACAAUUAUAUAUGAAUAAAAGAUCCUUUAUAAAGAUUAAAAAAUUAAGUUACUUUAGGGAUAACAGCGUUAUUUCUUUAGAGAGUUCUUAUCGAGAAAGAAGAUUGCGACCUCGAUGUUGAAUUAAAAUAUCUAUAUAAUGUAGCGGUUAUAUUAGAAGGUCUGUUCGACCUUUAAAAUUUUACAUGAUUUGAGUUCAAACCGGUGUGAG
rnacentral:rRNA from 1 species